CCCGAUGUCCAGCCACGUGGCACAGAGGCCCGUGUGGUGAAGGAGUGAAGCCUCUGCCGACAGCCACGUGAGUGAGUCUUCUCCAACUCCUGCCAGCCUUUGAAGACUGCAGCCCCAGGGCACGACUUCCCCGCAGCCUCCUGGAGAUCCUGAGCCAGAAACCCCAGCUAGCUGCUCCCAGAAUCCUGACCCUCAGAAACCGUGCGAGGUAGCAGAUCCCUUGUGCCAAACCCGCCGAGCCUGUGAUCAAGCACGUACCGCCUCCUGCAACAAUCUGGAAACGUUCAGCCCACCUCCCUGCUGAGCCUGGCAAGACAAGAUUCCAUCUUCUGUCCCAGCCUCGGCCCCAGGCCUGACCCAGGAGGGGGGCGGGGCUUUUCAGAGCUUGAUUCCCAAGGUCACCUUGAGCUUUGCCCUUCCCGAGUCCCAACGCUGUUGCCCGUUGGCUUUCCUGCAGCUUUGAAUACAAGGAGGCCAGAGACCCGGGGGAGCAAAACAGACGUUCGCAUGAGUCGGAGUCUCUGGGGGUUCGGGACGCAGUACAAUCCAUCCCACGGCGGCGUUCUUCAUAUAGAAAUUUGUCUUCACUUUGAAGUGAACAAACUUCUUGCUUUACCUGAGUUCUGCAGACUAAGAGGGUGUGUGCACUUCUCUCCUGGCAUCACGUGUAACCAGGGGGCCGCAGUAAGGAGGGAAAGGUCCCCUUCUUCCACGUUUGUUGCUGAGAAGGAAGUGGCUAAGCACCCUUACUUCAACUGCACAGGCCACGGCGGGCCCCGCCCUCCCUCACUGCCUGCCCCUCCCAUCCCACCAAACGUAAACCCUCGGGCAGUGACUUUUGAUAAAAACAUAGGGAUCAUCGUCG